rnacentral:rRNA from 1 species
GUCUAUGGCCAUGACACCCUGAACACACCUGAUCUUGUCUGAUCUCGGAAGCUAAGUAGAGUUGGGCUUGGUUAGUACUUAAAUAGGAGACUACCUAGAAAGACUAGGUGCUGUAGGCG